rnacentral:rRNA from 1 species
AUUGAACGCUGGCGGCAGGCCUAACACAUGCAAGUCGAACGAGUGGCGGACGGGUGAGUAAUGUCUGGGAAACUGCCUGAUGGAGGGGGAUAACUACUGGAAACGGUAGCUAAUACCGCAUACCAUCGGAUGUGCCCAGAUGGGAUUAGCUAGUAGGUGGGGUAAAGGCUCACCUAGGCGACGAUCCCUAGCUGGUCUGAGUGGAUGACCGGCCACACUGGAACGGAGACACGGCCCAUAUCCCUACGGGGGGCAGCAGGGGGGAACAUUGCACAAUGGGCGAAAGCCUGAGGCAGCCAGGCGGCGUGUAUGAAGAAGGCCUUCGGGUUGUAAAGUACUUUCAGCGGGGAGGCGUUACCCGCAGAAGAAGCAACGGCUAACUCCGUGCCAGCAGCCGCGGUAAUAC